rnacentral:rRNA from 1 species
UACGUAGGGUGCGAGCGUUAUUCGGAAUUACUGGGCGUAAAGCGUGCGCAGGCGGUUUUUUAGGCCAGAUGUGAAAUCCCCGGGCUUAACCUUGGUACUGCCUUUGGAACUGGAAGACUAGAGUACGGCAGAGGGGGGUAGAAUUCCACGUGUAGCAGUGAAAUGCGUAGAUAUGUGGAGGAAUACCGAUGGCGAAGGCAGCCCCCUGGGUCGAUACUGACGCUCAUGCACGAAAGCGUGGGGAGCAAACAGG